rnacentral:rRNA from 1 species
CGAAAGCCUGACGGAGCAAGACCGCGUGGGGGAAGAAGGCUCUUGGGUUGUAAACCCCUUUUCUCUGGGAAGAAAGUUGUGAAAGCAACCUGACGGUACCAGAGGAAUCAGCAUCGGCUAACUCCGUGCCAGCAGCCGCGGUAAGACGGAGGAUGCAAGCGUUAUCCGGAAUGAUUGGGCGUAAAGCGUCCGCAGGUGGCAGUUCAAGUCUGCUGUCAAAGACCGGGGCUUAACCUCGGAAAGGCAGUGGAAACUGAACAGCUAGAGUAUGGUAGGGGCAAAGGGAAUUCCUGGUGUAGCGGUGAAAUGCGUAAAGAUCAGGAAGAACAUCGGUGGCGAAGGCGCUUUGCUGGACCAUAACUGACACUCAGGGACGAAAGCUAGGGGAGCG